CCUACGGGGGGCAGCAGUGGGGAAUAUUGCACAAUGGGGGAAACCCUGAUGCAGCGACGCCGCGUGAGUGAAGAAGUAAUUCGGUAUGUAAAGCUCUAUCAGCAGGGAAGAAAAUGACGGUACCUGAGUAAGAAGCACCGGCUAACUACGUGCCAGCAGCCGCGGUAUUACGUAGGGGGCAAGCGUUAUCCGGAUUUACUGGGGGGAAAGGGAGCGUAGACGGCAGUGAAAGUCUGGAGUGAAAGGCGGGGGCUCAACCCCCGGACUGCUCUGGAAACUGUCCGGCUGGAGUGCAGGAGAGGUAAGUGGAAUUCCGAGUGUAGCGGUGAAAUGCGUAGAUAUUAGGAGGAACACCAGUGGCGAAGGCGGCUUACUGGACUGUAACUGACGUUGAGGCUCGAAAGCGUGGGGAGCAAACAGGAUUAGAUACCCUAGUAGUC
rnacentral:rRNA from 1 species